rnacentral:rRNA from 1 species
AUUGAACGCUGGCGGCAUGCCUUACACAUGCAAGUCGAACGGCAGCACGGGGCAACCUGGUGGCGAGUGGCGAACGGGUGAGUAAUGCAUCGGAACGUACCUUUCAGUGGGGGAUAACGUAGCGAAAGUUACGCUAAUACCGCAUAUUCUGUGAGCAGGAAAGCAGGGGAUCGCAAGACCUUGCGCUGAUUGAGCGGCCGAUGUCAGAUUAGCUAGUUGGUGAGGUAAAGGCUCACCAAGGCGACGAUCUGUAGCGGGUCUGAGAGGAUGAUCCGCCACACUGGAACUGAGACCCGGUCCAGACUCCUACGGGAGGCAGCAGUGGGGAAUUUUGGACAAUGGGGGCAACCCUGAUCCAGCCAUGCCGCGUGAGUGAAGAAGGCCUUCGGGUUGUAAAGCUCUUUCGGCCGGGAAGAAAUCGUAUGGGCUAAUACCCUGUGCGGAUGACGGUACCGGCAUAAGAAGCACCGGCUAACUACGUGCCAGCAGCCGCGGUAACAC